GAUAAAUUGUUUUGUUGCUUCCAUGUGAAGCACAUGAACUGCUCUCCCACCUUCUGACUGACAUCGGAAAGGCAAUGGUCUGCCUUGAACAGCCCUACCUCACCUGCUGGAGCCCUCUGCCCCCGUGCAGAGCUGGGCUGGAGCAGGCACUGGGGCCAACUGCAGUCCACUGAAUGCAGCUGAGAUGGAUCCACCAAUGGAAGAGUUCCUGCAGCACGGAUGGACGCACUCAGGGUACCCACCACCACGAAACACCAUGCAACAGAGUCUUGAGCCUCACUCUAAUAUCAUGCGUGCUGCAUUCAACCGACAUAAAGGCAAACAGAAAGGCUGAAUUUACGCCAGCAAGUCACAGUAAGCCGUGCAUUGGCAAAAUAUUUAAUCGUGCUGAAAUUGGAGGCCGGAUCCUCCCACGUGGCUUUAUUUUGGCAUUGCAAACUGCACAUCUUCGAAAGCUUCUCCGGGAGCAGUGGCAAAACCUUACACUGAGGACUAGUUCUGAUUUGUGGAGGAUAUGGAAGAGAAGUGGGAAGAAAGAAAGCUGCUGCUGUUUGGCGGCUUGUUGUUUGGGGUUUUUUUCUUCUUCGCUUUAGGCAAAUGAAAGGAAUAAGUUCACUUAUAAUUGCUUUCAUGUAAAGAAAAGUUAAUAGAAAUUUUAAUAACGGUAGCAGCUUAGGAGAGUUUGAGGCCAUGACACGUGCAGUGCAAUGGAGGCAGCUCCUGCAGCAGGCUGCAGCUGCCCAUUGCUAUGGCUCUGCUUGGGGCACAGGGGGAGAGCUCCGGGAGAAUUCAGAAGGGUUCAUUCUGCCCUGGUUUUGUGCAGCCCUGCGUGCCCAUUGCAUACACAGAACACCAUGUAGCAGCAGUGUGACCAUUAGUCACUAUGUCAAUGUACAUAAAAAGGAACAGGCUCAGUAAUAUAUAUGAUGAACUUUUACUGAUUGUCGUAUGUGCCCUUCUGAGCUCUUCCCCUCUGGGAUCCACAGCAUCAGCGCUUCCUUCCCUUUCUCUUGGGCAGCAGCAGCAGCAUUUCUGUCCUGCUGGUACUGCAGGCACCAUGGCUGUUUGCUUCUCCUGCCAGGCAGCAAGCCAGCACUGAGGUCAGACUAUUCCCAGGAUGGAUGCAAGGUCCUGGUGUCAGCACUGCUCUCAUCAGUGUUGCAUACAUCAGCUCAACUCCUGCAGCCUUCUUGCCUUCUGAGCCUCCCAUGCAUUGAGGCCACCACCUCCCAUGAGGAUGAAGGGGAGGAAGAGUGGGGUGCAACCAUGCACGCCCCAUUGGCAGAAGCACCUGGGGGUCUUCAUUGACCAACACUGUGAAGGGCACUGUUAUUGUGUGUGCACUGUCCUUGUAGACUCACCUCAGCAGUGAUCUCACACCACUGUGCACUUUCCUGGCACACUGACAAUCCCAGUGAGCAGCUGCAGUUCCAUGGUGGCUACAUUAAGAAUGUGACUUCUACAGCCAUCACUGCGGCCAUCAGCAGCGGAUGUCUGCCGUGCAGAGGGACGUGCGUGCCAACAGCAAGCACCUGGGCAUGGAAAGCUGGUUGCUGUUACUGUAAGUGAACCCUUCAGUUUGUAAGUGUGAGGAAACUGGAGAAGUUUAUGAAAGAAGAAAAAGGAUGGGGUACCGGGAGACAAAAGACUCAUCGCCUUGCAGGAAAGGGAUGAAUACAGGAGAAGAGGAGAUGGAUUGGAGCUCGUUUUGAAGGCAGAAGGAGCCAUCCCCAAGUCAGCUUCCUGCACUUCCAGUGACAUUUAUAGAAGUGAACAGAGAUUCCACUGAUUUCACUUUUGACCAUCAGCCUGAACGCGUCCUCCCAACUGGAAGGGCUUUUUUCACCUUGAUGAUCCUUGAGGUCCCUUCCAACCCAAGCCGUUCCAUGAUUCUGUGAUUCACCGACUGCAUCACAUCCAAUAAGGAAUCCCAGUGCAGCGCUGAAGCAACCCUCCUUCAUCUUCAUAUUUUGCUCCAGGACCUCAAAUUACGGCUGGGUCACCGGGCUGGAUGGCUCUCUGCAAACAUGGAUGCAACAGAGCAAGGCCACAUGUAGAGCUAGCUCCUACAGUGCCUAUGGGCUCUCUCCUGGCAUUAAGGUUUGCAACUUGUGAGCUGUGACAGCUGCAGCACAGCAAGCUGUGUGUGGUGAGGGUACAAAAAGAAAUGUCCUCACAGGUCCUGCUCUGCUCGUCCAGAGUCUGCAAAG
ensembl:lncRNA